rnacentral:rRNA from 1 species
AUACGGAGGGUGCGAGCGUUAAUCGGAAUUACUGGGCGUAAAGCGUGCGUAGGCGGUUUGGCAAGUCAGGUGUGAAAGCCCUCGGCUCAACCGAGGAACUGCACUUGAAACUGCCAGACUGGAGUUCGGGAGAGGGUAGCGGAAUUCCGGGUGUAGGGGUGAAAUCCGUAGAUAUCCGGAGGAACACCGGUGGCGAAGGCGGCUACCUGGACCGAUACUGACGCUGAGGUACGAAAGCGUGGGGAGCAAACAGGAUUAGAAACCCGAGUAGUCC